AGUGCUGGUAGCUAUUAGCUGGCAGAAAGAGGGAAUCAGGUGAGAAACCUGAGCGAUCCGGUCACUGUAACAGAGGAGCAAGUCUCAGAGUCCAUUGUGCGUAUGCAUGAGAAGGAGAGAUGAUGCGAUGAUUCUGGAGCCAGGAAACCUGCUUAGUAU
rnacentral:ncRNA from 1 species